UCUCCCCGUCGUGUAGGAAGUCAGACAAGGAGAGAUGUUUGGCGUCCACAUUGUCGGCCCUGGAAUUUGCAGACACUGACCGUGUGACCAUCUGGCGCAGGCCGUUCCUGAAAUACCCCGCCACGGCAGAGAGGCUCCUCCGCAGGGGAAUCCUGUGCCCACCGUCGGUCGUGGUCGUCGUUGUCGCCUUCUUCCUGGCUUCCAGAAGGAGGCCCUGGACCUCCGGCGUGCGCACCAUGCCCCCCGCGGACUCCCUGUGCAGGCGCAGCAUGGCCUCCCGGCGCGCGGCGAGCAGCGGGAGGUCGUCCUCGGAGCACGCGAAGAGCGGGGCGUCGACGAGGUCGGGCGGCAGCGUGACCCGACAGGCGGCGACGAGGGAGUCGAGCAGGCGGCGGCGGUCGCCGAAGGAGAGGCGGGCGAAGCGGUGUGGGCUGGAGGAGGAGGAGGAAGCGAACGGAUCCCUGGCGAUGUGCGCCUCGAGAAAGAUGACGUUGGCGUGGGGCUGCAGGGAGGCGAGCAGGCCUGGGAAGAGGUGGGCGUGGUGGUGGCCGUGGAGGAAGAGGAGCGCGGGGCGGCCGUGGGCGUCGGCAAGGAGCUCGAAGACGGGCGCCCAGCGGAGGCGCGGGGAGAGCUCCUGCGGUAUGGCGCGGGCGGCGACGACGGAGAGGAAGCCCGGGACAGCAGCGACGAGGUUGCCGAGCUCGGGGUUCUGGUGCGCCCAGAGGCCGAGCAGCGGCGCGGCGGAGUGGAGGAAGCGGCAGACGGCGAGGGAGGAGCCCGCGGCGGCGGCGCGCCACGCGAGCAGGUGCGGCUGCGAGGGCAGCAGGCGGCGGCACUGCGCCAGCCACGCCUUGUCGGCCGAGAGCGCGCGGCGGAGGCGGCGGGACGCGGCGGACAGCGCGAGGAGGUCGCGGGGUCGGAGGUGCGCCGAGAUGAGCGCCAGCACGUCCUCCGGGAGGGAGAGGAUGAGGUCGGCGCCGUCCCUGGCGACGGCGAGCAUCGUGGGGAUUUGGGGUGGGUGGGUGGGGAGCUGCUCUGUUCCCUCCCUCAGAUUUCUUCUUCCUCCUCGCCCACCACGAUAAUAAUUCCUCCUCGGCGUCGUCGUCGUGGUCGGGGAGGUUUAUAAAUAAAAAAAUAUUAAUCCGGACGGCAUCAGUCUCGUGUCCACUACUAUCAGACCGAACGCACACGCACCACUGAAGCUGCUAUCAAUAACCCCCUAACUUUAGAAAUUAGAAUUGGACCUGCUGCUUUCCUUCCACUUUUUGGAUAAUCGUUUAUUAUAAACCACUUAUGCAAGAAUAAGAACCGUUUACUCCCAAGUUUGAAAAUUUUGCUUUCACAAACUGCCUUGCUAGAAUUCAAAUGCUUAAAUUUUAGUUUUAGAAGGGUUCAUCAUUCUCACGAAAUGACAAUGCAUUUGCCAUUCAUCUUAUUAUCUUAUUAUUGUGACGGCAACUAGUUAAAUUUUCACUUUUAACUACUGGAUAGGAAGGUAUCUUAAGGCUUAUUUAAGAGCAAGAAUAUUGGAUGGAUUGCCG
rnacentral:misc_RNA from 1 species